rnacentral:rRNA from 1 species
AAUAGAUACCCAGGUAGUCCACGCCGUAAACGAUGGAUACUAGCUGUUGGGGGCGACCUCAGUGGCUAAGCGAAAGUGAUAAGUAUCCCACCUGGGGAGUACGUUCGCAAGAAUGAAACUCAAAGGAAUUGACGGGGGCCCGCACAAGCGGUGGAGCAUGUGGUUUAAUUCGAUGAUACGCGAGGAACCUUACCAAGGCUUAAAUGCAGACUGACCGUUUUGGAAACAGAACUUUCGCAAGACAGUCUACAAGGUGCUGCAUGGUUGUCGUCAGCUCGUGCCGUGAGGUGUCAGGUUAAGUCCUAUAACGAGCGCAACCCCUGUUGUUAGUUGCCAGCGAGUAGUGUCGGGAACUCUAACAAGACUGCCAGUGCAAACUGUGAGGAAGGUGGGGAUGACGUCAAAUCAUCACGGCCCUUACGCCUUGGGCUACACACGUGCUACAAUGGCCGGUACAGAGAGCAGCCACCUCGGCGAGGGGGAGCGAAUCUACAAAGCCGGUCACAGUUCGGAUCGGAGUCUGC